rnacentral:rRNA from 1 species
GUAGGGAAUCUUCCACAAUGGACGAAAGUCUGAUGGAGCAACGCCGCGUGAGUGAAGAAGGUCUUCGGAUCGUAAAACUCUGUUGUUAGAGAAGAACGUGCAUGAUAGUAACUGAUCAUGUAAUGACGGUAUCUAACCAGAAAGGCACGGCUAACUACGUGCCAGCAGCCGCGGUAAUACGUAGGUGGCAAGCGUUGUCCGGAUUUCUUGGGCGUAAAGGGAACGCAGGCGGUUUUUUAAGUCUGAUGUGAAAGCCUUCGGCUUAACCGAAGAAUAGCAUUGGAAACUGGAAGACUUGAGUGCAGAAGAGGAGAGUGGAGUUCCAUGUGUAGCGGUGAAAUGCGUAGAUAUAUGGAGGAACACCAGUGGCGAAAGCGGCUCUCUGGUCUGUAACUGACGCUGAGGUUCGAAAGCGUGGGUAGCAAACAGGAUUAGAAACCCGGGUAGUCC